UGCCAGAGCCCCACUGAGGCAGGUAUAAAACUCGCACCAGCUUGCAAGUACAAUCAGGCAAAGCUGAUUGCCUUGCUGGCAGCAAAGGCACGGAACAAUAAGGUUCACAUUGUGGUUUUAAUAAUUCAAUGAUCCUUCCGUUAGGGGACCUGCGGAAGGAUCAUUG
rnacentral:rRNA from 1 species